AUCCUAGAAAAGAGGCCGCUCAGGAUGGGGAUGAGACUUCGAUUGCUCCGGGACCGACGCAUCUCCUCACGUGAUCGAGGACUUCACAAACCCAAAGUGGAACCGCCGUGAAAAUGAUGGACAACUGGCCACGGGACCCAGGCAGAGACGCAGAAAGAGGCUCAACAAAGACUGGCCGACAUGCAAAAAAUCGCAUUUUGGCAAACAGAGCACAUUCGUCCAAAGACACACACACACACACAAACACACACACACACACAGACCAACAGAGAGAAGGAAAGAAACACACAGAGGGUGAGAGACAGAGAAGAGAGAAUGGGAGACACACACACACACAGUCCUACAGUGGUGGCACAGAAACACACAUUCCCAGGCAACCCCUGAGGUUAA
rnacentral:lncRNA from 10 species